GCUACAGGCUUAACACAUGCAAGUCGAGGGGCAGCAUGGUCUUAGCUUGCUAAGGCCGAUGGCGACCGGCGCACGGGUGAGUAACACGUAUCCAACCUGCCGUCUACUCUUGGACAGCCUUCUGAAAGGAAGAUUAAUACAAGAUGGCAUCAUGAGUCCGCAUGUUCACAUGAUUAAAGGUAUUCCGGUAGACGAUGGGGAUGCGUUCCAUUAGAUAGUAGGCGGGGUAACGGCCCACCUAGUCUUCGAUGGAUAGGGGUUCUGAGAGGAAGGUCCCCCACAUUGGAACUGAGACACGGUCCAAACUCCUACGGGAGGCAGCAGUGAGGAAUAUUGGUCAAUGGGCGAGAGCCUGAACCAGCCAAGUAGCGUGAAGGAUGACUGCCCUAUGGGUUGUAAACUUCUUUUAUAAAGGAAUAAAGUCGGGUAUGGAUACCCGUUUGCAUGUACUUUAUGAAUAAGGAUCGGCUAACUCCGUGCCAGCAGCCGCGGUAAUACGGAGGAUCCGAGCGUUAUCCGGAUUUAUUGGGUUUAAAGGGAGCGUAGAUGGAUGUUUAAGUCAGUUGUGAAAGUUUGCGGCUCAACCGUAAAAUUGCAGUUGAUACUGGAUAUCUUGAGUGCAGUUGAGGCAGGCGGAAUUCGUGGUGUAGCGGUGAAAUGCUUAGAUAUCACGAAGAACUCCGAUUGCGAAGGCAGCCUGCUAAGCUGCAACUGACAUUGAGGCUCGAAAGUGUGGGUAUCAAACAGGAUUAGAUACCCUGGUAGUCCACACGGUAAACGAUGAAUACUCGCUGUUUGCGAUAUACUGCAAGCGGCCAAGCGAAAGCGUUAAGUAUUCCACCUGGGGAGUACGCCGGCAACGGUGAAACUCAAAGGAAUUGACGGGGGCCCGCACAAGCGGAGGAACAUGUGGUUUAAUUCGAUGAUACGCGAGGAACCUUACCCGGGCUUAAAUUGCAGAUGAAUUACGGUGAAAGCCGUAAGCCGCAAGGCAUCUGUGAAGGUGCUGCAUGGUUGUCGUCAGCUCGUGCCGUGAGGUGUCGGCUUAAGUGCCAUAACGAGCGCAACCCUUGUUGUCAGUUACUAACAGGUUCCGCUGAGGACUCUGACAAGACUGCCAUCGUAAGAUGUGAGGAAGGUGGGGAUGACGUCAAAUCAGCACGGCCCUUACGUCCGGGGCUACACACGUGUUACAAUGGGGGGUACAGAGGGCCGCUACCACGCGAGUGGAUGCCAAUCCCCAAAACCUCUCUCAGUUCGGACUGGAGUCUGCAACCCGACUCCACGAAGCUGGAUUCGCUAGUAAUCGCGCAUCAGCCACGGCGCGGUGAAUACGUUCCCGGGCCUUGUACACACCGCCCGUCAAGCCAUGGGAGCCGGGGGUACCUGAAGUGCGUAACCGCGAGGAGCGCCCUAGGGUAAAACUGGUGACUGGGGCU
rnacentral:rRNA from 2 species